rnacentral:rRNA from 1 species
UGUCCUUUUGAUUAUAAUUUAAGGUCUAAUCUGCCCACUGAGGAUUUAAAUGGCCGCGGUAUUUUGACCGUGCAAAGGUAGCAUAAUAAUUAGUUUCUUAAUUAGAAGCUGGUAUGAAAGAUUGGAUGAGAAAAUAACUGUCUCAAGUUAAUUUAUUUAGAAUUUUAUUUUUAAGUUAAAAAGCUUAAAUAAAUUUAAAAGACGAGAAGACCCUAUAGAGUUUAAUUAAAAUUUUAAAUUUAAAUUUAUAGAUUAAAUUUUUUAAUUUUAAAAUUUUAAUUUUGUUGGGGUGACAAAAAAAUUUAUUAAACUUUUUUUAUAUUAGUACAUUAAUAAAUGAGUAUUUGAUCCAAAUAUUUUGAUUAUAAGAUUAAAUUACCUUAGGGAUAACAGCGUAAUUUUUUUUAAGAGUUCUUAUCGAAAAAAAAGAUUGCGACCUCGAUGUUGGAUUAAAGUAUAAUUUUGGUGUAGAAGCUAAAAAAUUAGGUCUGUUCGACCUUUAAAACUUU